UAAAGUUUUGUAAACUGGAUUGGAGGAUCCAAGCCCUUUGUUUUCCGAAAAUCUACAGUAGAACCUUCGAGAAGUCAAAAUUCUGGGUCCGAUCGGUUGAAGGUGAGGCUUGAGGCAUUCGGCUUGAGGCUUGGGGCUUCUGGCUUUCGGCUUUCGGCUUUCGGCUUUGCUAUAUUGGAUUUCUUUCUUUGUUCUCUGGGUUCAACGUUCCAGCUUUAACACCGCGCAAACUCAAAUCACAAAACCCUAGUGUCAGUGAGAUUUGAUUGCAUAGUAAGAUAAGGAAAAGCAAAAAAGGCAUAUGGCGGAGCACUUGGCUUCGAUCUUCGGGACAGAGAGGGACCGUGUGAACUGCCCCUUCUAUUUCAAGAUCGGGGCGUGCCGGCAUGGAGACCGGUGCUCUCGGCUUCACAACCGGCCGACGAUCUCACCGACGCUGCUGUUGUCGAACAUGUACCAGAGGCCCGACAUGAUAACCCCGGGGGUGGACGCGCAGGGCCAGCCCAUCGACCCGCGUAAAAUCCAGGAACACUUCGAGGACUUCUACGAGGACAUCUUCGAGGAGCUGGGGAAAUUCGGAGAGAUUGAGAGCCUCAACGUAUGCGACAAUCUCGCUGAUCAUAUGAUAGGGAAUGUCUACGUCCAGUUCAAGGAAGAAGAGCAAGCCGCCGCUGCUCUGCAAGCCCUCCAGGGACGCUUCUACAAUGGUCGCCCCAUCAUAGCCGACUUCUCGCCCGUCACCGACUUCCGUGAAGCCACUUGUCGCCAGUUUGAGGAGAAUAACUGCAACCGAGGUGGCUAUUGUAAUUUCAUGCACGUCAAAUUGAUCGGCAGGGAUUUGAGGAGGAAGCUCUAUGGCAGGUACCGUGGCAGCCGCAGCCGCAGCCGCAGCUUAAGCCCCCGCCGUCAUUGGAGAGAUUAUGAUCGCAGAGACAGAGAUUACCGGGACCGGGACCGUGACUAUCGCAGCAGGGACAGGCACGAUAGGUACUCCGAACGAGAUACUGGUAGAAGAAGACACAGCAGCCCCAGGCGGAGCAGUACUAGGAGUCCUGUGAGGGAAGGCAGCGAGGAGCGCCGUGCCAGAAUUGAGCAAUGGAAUCGAGAAAGGGAGGAAAGGCAGUGAUCAUCUUUUUUUUUUGUUUUUUCCUUUCUUCUCUUGUCUUUUCUUUUCCAAUUGAGUUGAAGAAAGGGUGACCUGUUACUUGCAUUGGACUAGUAAUCUUGGCUGAGGUUCAUGUUCAAGCACUGGAUCAUGCUAAGUACACUUGUCUAGUGCAAGCCUAUAAAAGUUACUUGUGAAUUUUUCCUUGGGAUGCCUGUUGGUAAUUUGUAUUGUUGGUUUCUAGGUAACUCUGAAAGAUAGAAGGGUAAAAGCUACUUUUCGUUCUUUUACAAUCUUAUUAUUAGGCUUGUUUUAGCCUUACAGGAGGAAAGUUGUCAGAGGUCCCCUCCUUACAAGCUGCCAAGCUUUUCUACAUCUGUCUUUUCAGAUUUCAUUUUGUGUACGGUCAUCGUUGUCAUGAAACUCUAUCGAUUGAGGGUUUGGGGUCUUUGUUCUCACUUUUAUGCAUGAAUUUAUUUGUCUUUUAGGAGACAAUUCAAAUGAUGCCAAUACUAAGACAUUUUGAAUGUGGUACCAUUUUCAGUUUUGUUGCUGUUGAGAUAUAGAGUAAGUUAUGGAGUGAAUCAAAUUUUAAAAUGACAUCCCCUGUGGCACUUGUCUUAUAGACAUCAUUCAUGAUGUUUGUUCGUUACUUAUCUUCGAGGGGUAUCCAAGUUUUACCUACAGAAUGCUAUUCAGUGUGUAUCUGUCUUCUUUUCAUACAAUAAUGGUCUAAAGAGUCGAAAGGAGUAACAUUAUAUUAGUGCCAUGGUGUACUAGAAGUAUGGUGGAAUUUUCAUUUCUAUCACGUUUUGCUGGAUCUUAAAUUGCUAGUUUAUGUCAGUUUUUGAGUAUCUAGUUGGGAUUGGGCCUGCUAAUAUGUAUGUUAUUUCAAUUUUUAGGUAUCUUCUGGAGGCAUAGAGCUAAGUGCUCAGAGGAACGAGGAGUAUCUUUUAUUCGUAAUUCUUGAUGCCUUCCCCACCUGUCCUAUUGUUGUACCUUAUUCAUUUUCCUACUUCUGGCUAAUGAUUCUACAUUUAUGCUUUUAGGGUCUGACAUCAUAGCCUCUGAAACUGGGUUUGCAGAACUCAAAGCUGGUCAGAACAUUGGAUAAGAAGUUCAGUUACUACAUCAAGUCUGUUUCUAGUUUUCUUUCUUGUAGGUAUAAAAAGGGGUAGGUAUAAAAAGGGGGAGGUGUCGACCAUCGCAGCUUGUUUUAUGGUUGGAUUCGAAGUAGGUAGCUUGAAACCCCGUUUUCGUUUAUGUUUAGAUACUAAUUCCCCAUUCUUCCCAUUCGGAUUUCUUCCCGUAUUUAUCUACAUAUAGGCCAUGCAAUGUUGCUGCAGUUGUAGGUUUCUACCUGUUAAGUCCGAGGCCUUCACAUGAGCGUCUGGCACAGUUUGAUCAUAUGAUAAGGUAGUAUUGAUUGCUUUUCUUAUGUGUGUGUUACUGGGUUGGUUGGUAGGGAAGUGAAGUCUCCGGCAUCUUAGGCUGUUGUACCAGCAACGAUUUGGCUCUGUGGUCGAUGGAAGUGAGUGCGAUAGAGUUUUGUUGAUGUUUUCAACUUGUAAUCCGUGAAAUGGCAUUCUGAUCAAGAAGCGUAAAAUAUUUUUUUAUUUAUGUGUUCUUUCUUUGGUACAAGGAAGAUAAUCGUUCUAUGUUGUUAAUCAUAGUAUCCACAUGUAAUAAUUUGGAAUGUUAAAUUGAUUAUUUCAUUUUGUUUUAUUGAAGACAAUAAAUAUACGUAGUGGGGGAUUGAUAUUUGAUGGUAACCA